GUCUUCCGCUUCCCGUACAACCACCGAAGUUAAGCAACAUCGAACCUGAUCAGUACCGCGAUGGAUGACCUCUUGGAAAUAGCAGGUGCUAUAA